UACGGAGGGUGCGAGCGUUGUCCGGAAUCACUGGGCGUAAAGGGCGCGUAGGCGGCCUGAUAAGUAGGGGGUGAAAUCCUGCGGCUUAACCGCAGGGCUGCCUUCUAAACUGUCAGGCUCGAGCACAGUAGAGGCAGGUGGAAUUCCCGGUGUAGCGGUGGAAUGCGUAGAGAUCGGGAAGAACAUCAGUGGCGAAAGCGACUUCCUGGACCAGUACCGACGUUCAGGCACGAAAGCGUGGGGAGCAAACAGG
rnacentral:rRNA from 1 species